AACGCAUAUUGCACUCUCUGGUAUUCCGGAGAGUAUGCCUGUUUGAGGGUCUGUUAAAUAAAAAUCGAGGUUGUUGCUGCCUUUUUUGUGUGGUGACGCUUUGGAAUUGGGUUUUCUUUACCUUCGGGUUAAGUGGCCUAAAAUUUUUACAUGAUUUUUCGAACGUAUUUAAAUCUUUUACGUACGUUUGGUUAUAUCGAAUAUAUUAGGUGUGGUCAUCUUCAUGAUUUCACGUCUAUAAUUUUUUCAUUUUUAGACCUCAAAUCAGGUAAGAACACCCGCUGAACUUAA
rnacentral:misc_RNA from 1 species